CGUCUCACAAAGUGGCUGUUGUAUGUGUUUUCCCCUUUUUCUCAUUCAUAUCACAGCCAGCUUUGAUGAGCGGUG
rnacentral:pre_miRNA from 13 species